rnacentral:ncRNA from 2 species
UACGGGGGAUGCGAGCGUUAUCCGGAUUUAUUGGGUUUAAAGGGUGCGUAGGCGGCCUGUUAAGUCAGCGGUGAAAUUCAGGGGCUCAACCUCUGCCGUGCCGUUGAUACUGGCAAGCUGGAAUGCGGAUGCCGUGGGAGGAAUGUGUGGUGUAGCGGUGAAAUGCAUAGAUAUCACACAGAACACCGAUUGCGAAGGCAUCUCACGAAUCCGCUAUUGACGCUGAUGCACGAAAGCGUGGGGAUCAAACAGG